GAGAUAGAUCGAAUGUCUUACGUGAAUGAUUCGAGAUACUACACAAGAACAAUCUAUGAAAACAAUUGAAGAACUAAAAGACAAGAAGGCUGCAAAUGCACUGAUGG